GGCUCUGAAAACAAACUGCUCUGAGAUUGUUUGAACAAAAACACUUAUUUCGUCUUGGGAACGAGAGGCGGAGAUGGUUGGGGAAAUAAAGGGGCUGUUCCUGUCAAGCAGAUAUCACUGCAGAGCAGAGACCUGCAGGUGGGAGGAGCUAACGCCAAGAACUGCAUGUGUGAGGAAGCUUACACGGCAAAGUAUGUUGUGACCCUGGCUGUGUGACAGGCCUCCUCUAUCUCAAGUCCUACGGGGAUUUUUGCUUCACACGGACCACUGCUCCUAGAUGAAGAUAUAACAGGUGACCCAUUAACUGAUGGCUGCUUUCUACGAAUGCAAGUGUAACUCCUUAAUGCUUCACCACUGU